rnacentral:pre_miRNA from 13 species
CAUCUUGAACAAUGGCCAUUGUAAGAGUAAGUGGUCCAUGAGUCAAUAACUCUCUUUGCAGAAAUGCAUGACAAAGCAUUGACUCCUAUUUCACCCUUACAAUGUCCAUUGAUUAAGAGG